rnacentral:rRNA from 1 species
UACAGAGGGUGCAAGCGUUGUUCGGAAUCAUUGGGCGUAAAGGGUGCGUAGGCGGGUCUUUAAGUCAGGGGUGAAAUCCUGGAGCUCAACUCCAGAACUGCCUUUGAUACUGAGGAUCUUGAGUACGGGAGAGGUGAGUGGAACUGCGAGUGUAGAGGUGAAAUUCGUAGAUAUUCGCAAGAACACCAGUGGCGAAGGCGGCUCACUGGCCCGUUACUGACGCUGAGGCACGAAAGCGUGGGGAGCAAACAGG